AGCCCCCUCUGGAUUGAUCUAGGUGUCAGUAACGCACAGGUUUUCCAGCUCUAAGCAGAGAGGAGAGUACACAGAAGAAGGACAGAGUGACUGUGUGACUGGGUGUGUGUGUGUGAGUGAGAGAGUGUGUGGGAGGUCGUGCAGCAUGCAGCAGUAGAGAGGAUACACACACUCGCCAUGGCGUGUCCCCCGCCCCCUCCCCCUGUUUAAGAAGAGCUACGUCCUCCCUCUAACUCACCACUGGGGGCUUCAGAGUGGAGCCCCACACACCACAUCACACCACACCACACACACCGGCCCACUACAAUCCCAGGUGUGUGUGUGCGAGUUGGGUUCUCGCCCCCUUCCUGAGGGAAGAUGUCUGUGGUGAUGCCCCUGGAUGGGGUGAGGGAGGGGGAGAGUGUGCUGGUUACUGAGACCCCAGCCGGCACGCGCUGCAAAGGAAACACCAAUUUACCUGGCAAAGACAACUGCACUGACAACAACAACACAGAGCCUGACGACAACCUCUCACAAGACACACAGAAACGCUGUCAGAACCAUGGCCAUACCAGGAAAAGAGCCAAGUCCAAUGCCAAGCUGAAGCUGGUGCGGAGUCUAGCAGUAUGUGAAGAGUCAUCGGGUCCAUUCUCAACUGAUGGACCUCCAGAGACGCAGGACAUCAUUCAGCUACACAUCAGCUGUCCUUCAGACAAAGAAGAGGAGAAAUCCUCGAAAGAUGAGUACGAGAGUGAGGAGAGGGAGAAGAAGGACAAGACUCCUCGCAAGAUGCUCUCGCGGGACUCCAGUCAGGAGUACACAGACUCCACGGGCAUCGAUGUGCACGAGUUCUUGGUGAACACACUGAAAAACAACCCCAGGGACAGAAUGAUGCUACUGAAGCUGGAACAAGAUAUACUGGAGUUCAUCAAUGAUGACAAUAAUCAGUAUAAGAAGUUCCCUCAGAUGACCUCUUACCAUCGCAUGCUACUGCAUCGGGUGGCAGCAUAUUUUGGAAUGGACCACAACGUGGACCAAACUGGCAAAGCAGUCAUCAUCAACAAAACGAGCAACACGCGCAUCCCUGAACAGAGGUUUUCUGAGCACAUUAAGGACGAAAGGAACAUGGAUUUCCAAAAGAAAUUCAUUCUCAAGAGGGAUGAUGCAAGCAUGGACAAAGACGAUAACCAGAUCCGGGUUCCACUCCAGGAUGGUCGACGCAGUAAGUCCAUUGAGGAGAGGGAGGAGGAGUAUCAGCGUGUUCGAGAUAGAAUCUUUGCUCGGGAAUCCUCUCAAAACGGAUACAUCAAUGACAACAGACUGUCCACUGACGGCUACUCCUCUUCCUCCCAUAAGAGGAGGCAGAUCUUUAGGGGUAAUAAGGAGAGUUCGAGCAGAGCGUCCAGCAGCCGGCAGAGCAGCACAGACAGCGAUAUGAAGAGUCUGGAGCCACGGCCGUGGAGCAGCACAGACUCGGACAGUUCCAACCGCACACUGCGGCCACCCGUCACCAAGGCCAGCAGCUUCAGUGGCAUCUCUAUCCUCACACGCGGCGACAGCCUGGGCAGCAAGGGCUCGCAGGGUAGCGCCAGGGGGUCACGCACAGGUCUCCCUCUCAUCACCACAGAGACAUGCCCCCAGCCCCAGCCCCCCCAGCAGGGACGCAGCCUCUUGCCCUGUCCUUCCAACUGCCCCUCUAAUGCCCCUCCACCCCAGAACCAGGCGCCCCCACCACCCCCACAAACUGCCCUGCUGCCCACCCCUACACACACUCACACUCUUAGCCACCCACAGCACCCCAUCAGCAGCCACAGCCACAGUCACAGCCACAACCACAACCACAACCACAUGCUGCCACAGGUGAGUGGGCAUCUUAUGGGGGUUUUGGGUUUAUUAGCAGUUGCCUUUAGUCAACCGUAA
ensembl:lncRNA